rnacentral:lncRNA from 1 species
AGCUUAGUUCUUUGGAGAAGCAGUGUGGAGUCCUAAAAAAGGAGGCUGAGUCUUACCGUUGAGGUCGGUGCCGGUAGAGAAUGGGAGGGAGUCUGCAGGAGCCAAGCACCCUAAAGAAGAGGAAGAGAGCACGUUGCUGAGAUUUGAACAGCGACCUGAGAGGUCAGACUGGACCCAGGCCUCCUCAAGGAGGAAUUCCACCCGGCUCUGGGGCGUGCGUCCGACAAGCCCCUAGGGGGAGAAAGGAGAAGGGUGAAGGCCGGGCUAGUAGUCGCUGCCCGCUGGGCAGCAUCUGGAGGCCCGUGCGGGAUGCAGGCGAGGGGGAUGGAGCGGCGCCGCUGGAGGAAAUUGGCUUCCCAUGGGACCUGCAACUGUCUGGAAACAAAAAAAGAAGCCUACCAAAAGGGGAAAUUUAAAGGAGAGCAAGAAACCAUGAAGAGAGAGCCGAAAACGCGAAAGUAAAGAGUUGCCCAACUUAUUUAAAAGCAUGCGUAAUUUUGCCCGGGAGUUUCCGCAGCGUACUCUAACUUUUCUCCGCCUGCUUCCUUGGACCCAAUUUUCUUGUUCUUAUUCUGGAAGGUUUUUUUGUUUGUUUGUUUGUUUGUUUUUUGUUUGUUUGUUUUUUAACUUGACUUUACUUUGCCUGGGAACUGCACGUUUGCAUACUCCUGCAGGCUCUCUACCCUUGGCAAUGGACAGAGAAUAGCAUCCGGGCGGGAGGCUUGGCUGGGAAAGAAAGCCCUGGCGUCACCCGCGGGUUCAGUCUAGGCACUCCCCUCAGAGUACCGCAGGAGCAGGCAGAGCCACUGGCCUAUACAACCUCUGGGCUGCUGGCUACUGGGGUGAUCUGGGCCAGCGUGAUCUUAUUGAAUUUACUAAUGACCAGAGAGAUUUCUUAAGCCAAGUCCCCAGAGAACGAAUCCAAAAUGAGUAAAACAGUUGCCACUCCAGGCUCUGGCCAAGGUUGGGAAUCACAGCUCCUUCUCUGGCCUCCUCCAGUUGGAGCACGAGGUGAGCUCACUGGUGGGCUCCGCUCUCGGGGGGGGGGGGGGGGGGGGUUGUGGUCUGCGCUGCAGCAUACUGUUGAAGACACUUCUGGUAUGUUUCUGGAAACA